rnacentral:lncRNA from 1 species
GUGAAAUAGUUGAAUGAUGGGUCACAUUUCUGUGUAUAAAUACAGUGCAUAUGUAGGAAGUACAAGUAGAGAACAUACAUAGGACAGUACAGUACUUGUGUUUUUGGAGCAUACAGUACCAGUCAAAAGAUUGAGUACACUUGCUGGAGUCUAGGUUUAUUCAUAAUUGACAUUUUAUGACAGACAAGUUUCUGUAAAUAUUCAAAAAUUAAAACAAAUUAGAAGACACAAAACAAAAGAUUGUAAUGAUUGUAAGUGUUUUAGAAAACUGGGAACUGUGUAAAUCUUGGAUUCCUUAAGUAGGUGUACUCAAACUUUUGACUGGUACUGUUCUUACAAGGAGCUUGAAAGCGUUAGAGGGAUACUUUGAAACUAAAUCCUGAUGGAUGCCAUUGAUUACGAUGCGGCACUUGACCCUGAGCUUGGUCUCAGCGGGCAGCCGAACAGUGAUCUGUGCAUGGACCAAACGGAGGGUCGGGUGUACAUCGGGGAUGCCAUUGAUUAUGAUGAGGCACCUGACCCUGAGCUCAGCCUCAGUGGGCAGCCGGGCGGUGAUCUGGGUACGGACCAGACGGGCGAUCAGGAUGCCAUCGACUGUGAUGCAGCACCUGACCCUAAAACCAGCUUCAAGGAACACUCUGAGAGUAACAUGUACACCGGCCAAACCUUGGACCAGGAUGUCUUUCAUUGUGAUGCAGCACCUGACCUUGAGACCACCCUGAAUGGGCAGCUGGACAGAAAUGUGUGCACAGACCUAACCGAGGAUCAAGUGUGUCUUGGGGGUUACACUGCAGUCAAAACACCUGUAAAAUACUCUUUCAUUAAGGAGCAAGUGAGAAGGAAAAUCCCAUCGUUACGAGUGAAACUGAAAACUUGGAAGAAACCGAAAAAAUGGAAGGAAAUGCAUUCAAACUUAAGAAGAAAAGUCAAAUCACCCAGAAACAGGCCCAGACUCAAAACCCUGCAUCUGAAGCCAGAAACCAGAAGUUGCAAUGUUUCUAUGUUACUUACAAAACCACCAUUGAGCCUCCUUAAUGUUGAAACUAUUGCUGAAAUUUAUUUUGUUAAACCAAAGUAUGUCAAAGUACAUCAGCUACAAUUUUUAGAGCAGUUAUCAGUCUUUACCGAUAUUCCCGACAAGUUUUGCACCAAUAUAUACAGCAAAUCAUUUACUGUUUUUGAUAUCAUAUCCAGACUUUCUAAAAAGGAUUUAUUGCAACUCAGUAAGGAAAGUAUACAUAUUGGGAAAACAAUGAAUUCAUGUGUCCCAAAAUUUGAUAAUAAUACAAGGCAAUUUUUUUUAGAUCUUAUUGAUGAAGUGAAAAAAUCCGGUGAAGUGACAAAAGGCAGGAUAAAGUUAGAUAAUCAACAUGCAUGGGUUUUUAUAACAGAUGGUAAUCAUAAUAUAAAAUAUUUUAAUGCUCAAAGGCCUGAUUCCAAACAUUCUGAAGUGCUUCUUUGUGAAAAAAUUAAUGAUUUUCUUGAAGAUCAGUCUUUGGAUCCCAGAAACUUAAAAAUUUUUUGUAUACUUUAAACAGUCCUUGCAUUUAUAAAACAUCGGGGCAGUGCUGCAUGGCCAUUCUUUUGAAACAGUGCCAGAAGUGGAGAGAACAUGGCAUUAAAUGUUUUAUUGGAUUCAGCAGGUUCUGGGGUUUCGAUGGCCAUGUACUGAGGUACCUAAAGAAACAGAACCUCAGGGACUGUAUUCAAUGGCUUAGCAAAAAUCCUGAAGGAGUGUAUGAGCAGUACAGAAAAAUACACAGUGAUGUGUGUGAUAUCACAGAGUUUGAUAUUAUGAAACAGGUAACACAUCUCACAGUGCCAGAUUUCACACUGAAAUCAGAGAAAUUUAUCAGUAUCUUGAAUAAAUCCAUAAAUAGCUGCCA